rnacentral:tRNA from 1 species
GGGCGUGUGGCGUAGUGGUAUCGCGUUUGCUUCGCAUCAACAUCGGAAUUUUCCAAUGGCGUCUGUAAAAGGUCACCGGUUCGAUCCCGGUCACGUCCA